rnacentral:rRNA from 1 species
UACAGAGGGGGCAAGCGUUGUUCGGAAUUACUGGGCGUAAAGGGCGCGUAGGCGGCCUGCUAAGUCGGAUGUGAAAUCCCUCGGCUCAACCGAGGAACUGCAUCCGAUACUGGCGGGCUUGAAUCCGGGAGAGGGAUGUGGAAUUCCAGGUGUAGCGGUGAAGUGCGUAGAUAUCUGGAGGAACACCGGUGGCGAAGGCGGCGACCUGGUCCUUGACUGACGCUGAGGCGCGAAAGCGUGGGGAGCGAACAGG